AGAAAGUAUCUUCGGAUAUGAUUAGAGCGGCGGACGGGUGAGUAACGCGUAGGAAUCUACCUAGUAGAAGGGGAUAGCCCGAGGAAACUCGGAUUAAUACCGUAUACCUCCUCCGGGAGAAAGAAGGCCUCUCUUUGAAGCUUUCGCUACUAGAUGAGCCUGCGUAAGAUUAGCUUGUUGGUGAGGUAAAGGCUCACCAAGGCUACGAUCUUUAGCGGGUCUGAGAGGACGAUCCGCCACAUUGGGACUGAGACACGGCCCAGACUCCUACGGGAGGCAGCAGUGGGGAAUAUUGGACAAUGGGCGAAAGCCUGAUCCAGCCAUACCGCGUGUGUGAAGAAGGCCUUAGGGUUGUAAAGCACUUUAAGUUGGGAAGAAAGGUUAUUGGCUAAUACCCAAUAACUGUGACAUUACCAUCAGAAUAAGGACCGGCUAAUUCCGUGCCAGCAGCCGCGGUAAUACGGAAGGUCCAAGCGUUAAUCGGAAUUACUGGGCGUAAAGCGCGCGUAGGUGGUUUAUUAAGUUGGAUGUGAAAGCCCCGGGCUCAACCUGGGAACUGCAUCCAAAACUGAUUCACUAGAGUACGAUAGAGGGAGGUAGAAUUCACAGUGUAGCGGUGGAAUGCGUAGAUAUUGUGAAGAAUACCAAUGGCGAAGGCAGCCUCCUGGAUCUGUACUGACACUGAGGUGCGAAAGCGUGGGUAGCGAACAGGAUUAGAUACCCUGGUAGUCCACGCCGUAAACGAUGUCAACUAGCUGUUGGAAAGCAUUGCUUUUCAGUGGCGCAGCUAACGUAGUAAGUUGACCGCC
rnacentral:rRNA from 1 species